rnacentral:rRNA from 1 species
AUACGAGGGGUGCAAGCGUUGUUCGGAAUUACUGGGCGUAAAGGGAGCGUAGGCGGAGAUUCAAGCGGAUUGUACAAUCCCGGGCCCAACCCCGGCUCUGCAGUCCGAACUGGAUCUCUUGGAUAGUUCAGGGGCAGGCGGAAUUCCUGGGGUAGCGGGGGAAUGCGUAGAGAUCAGGAAGAACACCGAUGGCGAAGGCAGCCUGCUGGGGACUUAUCGACGCUGAGGCUCGAAAGUGCGGGUAGCAAACAGGAUUAGAUACCCUGGUAGUCCGCACCGUAAACGAUGCAUACUGGGUGUCCGGGGGUUCCCCCGGGUACCGUAGCCAACGCGUUAAGUAUGCCGCCUGGGGAGUACGUACGCAAGUAUGAAACUCAAAUGAAUUGACGGGG